GCCGGUGUAGCUCAGUUGGUAGAGCAUCUGUUUUGUAAACAGGCGGUCGGGGGUUCGAGUCCCUCCGCCGGCA
rnacentral:tRNA from 2 species